GACAACCUUCUACUCUACCUCCCGUCUGUCACUACUUUCUUCCUGCUCAACCGUAGCUAGCGCCGUCAUUUGCGUGGGUUAUUGUCACCAAUGUGCUCACUACUAGUCUGUUCGCCUCAGCUAUGAGUUCUUUCCCUAUUCGCCGCCAUUCAUCUACCUCUGUUACUGAUUCAAUUACUGAUAUACUCACUCUUCUUGUUCAUUCACGAUGGCAGUCCUUCCUUUACUGUUUGGAAUUGUUUCUCCUUCCUUUGUCCGUGCAUGUUGAUUCAUUUAAGGACGUGUAGAAGAAGAGGAUCCUGAUAGAAAUCGAAGAAAGAAUAUUUUGGAGAUUUGAAACUGCAACAA